rnacentral:rRNA from 1 species
AUUGAACGCUGGCGGCAGGCCUAAUACAUGCAAGUCGAGCGGACGAAGGGAGCUUGCGCCUGGAUUCAGCUGCGGACGGGCGAGUAAGGCCUAGGAAGCUGCCUGGUAGUGGGGGAUAACGUCCGGAAAGGGGCGCUAAUACCGCAUAGGUCCAGAGGGAGAAAGUGGGGGAUCUUCGGACCUCACGCGAUCAGAUGAGCCUAGGUCGGAUUAGCUAGUUGGUGGGGUAAAGGCCUACCAAGGCGACGAUCCGUAACAGGUCUGAGAGGAUGAUCAGUCACACUGGAACUGAGACACGGUCCAGACUCCUACGGGAGGCAGCAGUGGGGAAUAUUGGACAAAGGGCGAAAGCCUGAUCCAGCCAUGCCGCGUGUGUGAAGAAGGUCUUCGGAUUGUAAAGCUCUUUAAGUUGGGAGGAAGGGCAGUAUGUUAAUCCCUUGCUGUUUUGACGUUACCAACAGAAUAAGCCCCGGCUAACUUCGUG